GUGGGGAAUAUUGGACAAUGGGCGCAAGCCUGAUCCAGCAAUGCCGCGUGUGUGAAGAAGGCCUGCGGGUUGUAAAGCACUUUCAGUGGGGAAGAACAGGUUCGGGUCAAUACCCCGGAGCCCUGACGUUACCCACAGAAGAAGCACCGGCUAACUCCGUGCCAGCAGCCGCGGUAAUACGGAGGGUGCAAGCGUUAAUCGGAAUCACUGGGCGUAAAGCGCACGUAGGCGGCACGUUAAGUCAGAUGUGAAACCCCUGGGCUCAACCUGGGAAUGGCAUUUGAUACUAGCGCGCUCGAGUCUGAUAGAGGGGGGUGGAAUUCCAGGUGUAGCGGUGAAAUGCGUAGAUAUCUGGAGGAACACCGGUGGCGAAGGCGGCCCCCUGGAUCAUGACUGACGCUGAGGUGCGAAAGCGUGGGUAGCAAACAGGAUUAGAAACCCCAGUAGUCC
rnacentral:rRNA from 1 species